UACAGAGGGUGCGAGCGUUGUCCGGAAUCACUGGGCGUAAAGGGCGCGUAGGUGGCCCGAUAAGUAGGGGGUGAAAUCUCGAGGCUCAACUUCGAGGCUGCCUCCUAAACUGUCGGGCUUGAGCAGAGUAGAGGCAGGUGGAAUUCCCGGUGUAGCGGUGGAAUGCGUAGAGAUCGGGAAGAACAUCGGUGGCGAAGGCGGCCUGCUGGGCUCUUGCUGACACUGAGGCGCGACAGCGUGGGGAGCAAACAGG
rnacentral:rRNA from 1 species